AUUGAACGCUGGCGGCAUGCUUUACACAUGCAAGUCGAACGGCAACAGGGUGCUUGCACCGCUGACGAGUGGCGAACGGGUGAGUAAUGCGUCGGAACGUGCCGAGUAGUGGGGGAUAACGCAUCGAAAGGUGUGCUAAUACCGCAUACGUACUGAGGUAGAAAGUGGGGGACCUUCGGGCCUCACGCUAUUCGAGCGGCCGACGUCGGAUUAGCUAGUUGGUGAGGUAAAGGCUCACCAAGGCGACGAUCAGUAGCGGGUCUGAGAGGAUGAUCCGCCAUACUGGGACUGAGACACGGCCCAGACUCCUACGGGAGGCAGCAGUGGGGAAUUUUGGACAAUGGGCGCAAGCCUGAUCCAGCCAUGCCGCGUGUCUGAAGAAGGCCUUCGGGUUGUAAAGGACUUUUGUCCGGGAGCAAAUGCCUGGUGUUAAUAGCACUGGGAGCUGAGAGUACCGGAAGAAUAAGCACCGGCUAACUACGUGCCAGCCGCCGCAGUAAAAC
rnacentral:rRNA from 1 species